GAUCUGGGCUGGUUCAAGAUGGUCAGGAGUAUCUUCAGCCACCUCUUCAUGUUCUGAUUCCAUCUUUCCAGCCUCAACUCCCACACUCCUUAAAGCCCCUCCCCUUCUCGAAACUAAGGGCUCUUUUAAAAGGAAAAAAUUCAUAAACAAAGAAUUCCUGUGGAGCCACCAGGAACCAGGACCUGAUCUGUGUCCUAAAAGAUAAAAGCAGGACGGUGUGGGCAUUUCUCCGUGGUGCUUUCAUUCUGGUGAAAGGCACUGUCACUAAUGAGGGUGUCGCGUGUGCUCGGCAGGGGCAGUGCUCUGUACACCACAGUUUCAGCAUGGAAUUGCCACUGGCCCCAGCCUCCUUUGUGCUGAGCAGAGUCCAUCGGAGUAACCUUUAGCAACAUGAUAUGGCAUGUGCCUCUUCCAACAAGCAUUUUAAGAACCUGGUGUGCCUUCUUACUAGUCUUCCCCCGGUCCCUCCUCAAUGCAGAGGACUGAAUUCCUGAAGAGAGAGCCUCAAACUGCAAGGAUCCAGAUGCCUGAAUCCCAGAUGAAGAAAAAACAGUCCUCAACUAAUAAGGUACUGGUAAAGAAGUAUGUAACGAGCAUGAUGUACGUUCGCUUACAGAAACACUGGGUGCUUGUGCUUACAGGGUUAGCCAUUAAGCAAUACUGUGUAAUGGAUGGCCAUGGAGAAGAAACAGCAGGACUCAGGAAACAAGGAAUGUUCCAGACAGCAGUUUUUAAUCUAAAUGCAGUGUUCAGGGAAGACCUCCUCAUCCAGUAACGUUCAUUUGAAGCUGUUCUUCAGCCUCCACACAUUUUCCUCAAUCCGGCGCUCUUCUUACCCUUUAGAGGGCAGUUCACGUAUCACCUCCUCAAGGACGUCGCCUGCCAACCCAAGAAUGAAUGCUUGACCGCACCUUCACACAUCACCCGGCCCUCUCCUGCAGCACCUGGUUGUAGUGGCAUUUCAUUUGUGUUUAAAAAAAUAAAGAUGGCCUGAAGAUCUGAGAAUAAACAGUCCCACUGGUCAGCCUUCCA